rnacentral:rRNA from 1 species
AUGAACGCUAGCUACAGGCUUAACACAUGCAAGUCGAGGGGCAGCAUUUUAGUUUGCUUGCAAACUAAAGAUGGCGACCGGCGCACGGGUGAGUAACACGUAUCCAACCUGCCGAUAACUCGGGGAUAGCCUUUCGAAAGAAAGAUUAAUAUCCGAUAGUAUAUUAAAACCGCAUGGUUUUACUAUUAAAGAAUUUCGGUUAUCGAUGGGGAUGCGUUCCAUUAGUUUGUUGGCGGGGUAACGGCCCACCAAGACUACGAUGGAUAGGGGUUCUGAGAGGAAGGUCCCCCACAUUGGAACUGAGACACGGUCCAAACUCCUACGGGAGGCAGCAGUGAGGAAUAUUGGUCAAUGGACGAGAGUCUGAACCAGCCAAGUAGCGUGAAGGAUGACUGCCCUAUGGGUUGUAAACUUCUUUUAUAUGGGAAUAAAGUAUUCCACGUGUGGGAUUUUGUAUGUACCAUAUGAAUAAGGAUCGGCUAACUCCGUGCCAGCAGCCGCGGUAAUACGGAGGAUCCGAGCGUUAUCCGGAUUUAUUGGGUUUAAAGGGAGCGUAGGUGGAUUGUUAAGUCAGUUGUGAAAGUUUGCGGCUCAACCGUAAAAUUGCAGUUGAAACUGGCAGUCUUGAGUACAGUAGAGGUGGGCGGAAUUCGUGGUGUAGCGGUGAAAUGCUUAGAUAUCACGAAGAACUCCGAUUGCGAAGGCAGCUCACUAGACUGCAACUGACACUGAUGCUCGAAAGUGUGGGUAUCAAACAGGAUUAGAUACCCUGGUAGUCCACACGGUAAACGAUGAAUACUCGCUGUUUGCGAUAUACAGUAAGCGGCCAAGCGAAAGCAUUAAGUAUUCCACCUGGGGAGUACGCCGGCAACGGUGAAACUCAAAGGAAUUGACGGGGGCCCGCACAAGCGGAGGAACAUGUGGUUUAAUUCGAUGAUACGCGAGGAACCUUACCCGGGCUUAAAUUGCAUUUGAAUAAUCUGGAAACAGGUUAGCCGCAAGGCAAAUGUGAAGGUGCUGCAUGGUUGUCGUCAGCUCGUGCCGUGAGAUGUCGGCUUAAGUGCCAUAACGAGCGCAACCCUUAUCUUUAGUUACUAACAGGUCAUGCUGAGGACUCUAGAGAGACUGCCGUCGUAAGAUGUGAGGAAGGUGGGGAUGACGUCAAAUCAGCACGGCCCUUACGUCCGGGGCUACACACGUGUUACAAUGGGGGGUACAGAGGGCCGCUACCACGCGAGUGGAUGCCAAUCCCAAAAACCUCUCUCAGUUCGGACUGGAGUCUGCAACCCGACUCCACGAAGCUGGAUUCGCUAGUAAUCGCGCAUCAGCCACGGCGCGGUGAAUACGUUCCCGGGCCUUGUACACACCGCCCGUCACACCAUGGGAGCCGGUAACACCCGAAGUCAGUAGUCUAACCGCAAGGAGGACGCUGCCGAAGGUGGGAUUGGCGACUGGGGUG